rnacentral:rRNA from 1 species
CACGUACGCAAUCUACCCAAAACUGAUGAAUAGCCCUCCGAAAGGAGGAUUAAUACAUCGUAACCUAAUUGAAUGGCAUCAUUUAAUUAGUAUAGCUCCGGCGGUUUUGGAUGAGCGUGCGCCUGAUUAGGUAGUUGGCGGGGUAAUGGCCCACCAAGCCUGCGAUCAGUAACUGGUGUGAGAGCACGACCAGUCACACGGGCACUGAGACACGGGCCCG